CACCCCUCGGGGCUUUGGGGAGCGUCCGGGGCUCGGCCGCUGGAGGGACGCGGGUAGCCGGACCUUGCGGGGAUGCCGGGUGCUACCUACGCGGGGUCGGAAAGAAAGGGUCCGGAAGAGUCCCCAAGAACCUAGGGUGAAGGCGACCUUUUCUAUUCUAUGGAGAAACUGAUGCUCAGAGAAGAAACUGAUCUGCCCAAGGUCACCACCCUGAGCUAGAGGCAGACUUGGAACCUGGAUGUGCGGGCUCCCACUGGCGUCACUCCCCACUGCCCACAUUUGGGUUGUUUUAGGUCUUUGUUGCUGCGCGCGGGCUUUCUCUAGUUGUGGCCAGUGGGGGCUACUCUUCGUUGUGGCGGAUUCUUAACCACUGCGCCACCAGGGAAGCCCGAAAAUAGCUUUUAACCAGAGGAAAGGGAGCCUGGCCCUCUUGGAGGAAUGGAAGGAGAAGCAGAUGGCUGGAACAGAGGUUCAAGGGAGAAGAUACUAUGCACCUAAUAAGUACUCAACAUUUGAAUCAAUGGAGGAGCAAGUAAACGGCGGAGAGGCUGAAUGAGGCCAGUUUGCAGCCUCAGGGCCUCCUCCCCGGCCUUUCCCUGCCCCAGGAGUAACCCCAGGACGUCCAGUGCCUCAGAAAUCACAGCUGCCCCUACUCUGCCUGUACCUCUCCUCAGCCAUCUGCAUGACCCAGUGGAUAAAAAAGUACAAAGCAAGGGAAUACGGUAGUCACGCUCUCCUUUGUUCAAGCCCUUGGCUUCCUCUUCCCUGGUUGUGAAGCUCAGGAGGCCCGAAUCGGCCCCAUCUUUCCGAGGUAGAAGUGCUGGCCUGGAGCUCAGAGUUAUGGGAGCAAGAUGCAAGGGUGGCAGGGCCCUGUGCCAGGCAGAAUGGAAAGGUGUGGAGGUUCAAGCCGCCAGCUGCCCUGGCUGCCGCGCUGCUUCUUCCAAACCCUUUGAGCAGACCCCCUUCCUUGGGGCUCAGAGCUCGCAGAUCUGUGAACCAUCCCUGCGCCCUCACAGCCUGGUCCUGGCUGGCCUUCCUGAGGCCUUUGGCCCCUGGUUGUCGUUUUCCUCCCUCCCCAGGCCCUGCCUCAUCCUGGGGACUUCCAGCAUCCACAGGACACAGUGUCUGCCACCAGAGCCUCUCAAGGGAACCAACUCAAACCUGAGCCUCAGCCCUAGCCCCUGUCCACUCCCCAGAAUUUUCUGCUGCUCUUGGGCUUCCCACUCUCCUGAUGCUCUGGCACCCCACUUCACCACUCCCCUCUACUUGUUCUUCCAUGUCUCUGAGCCCUCCGGCCUCUGACCCCCUCGCGCCUUUAUUUUCCCCACCUUGCCCGGCCCUCGGCCAGUCCUGGCAUUCACUCCUUUGAUAUAUUGAGCCCCCUGGCCCCCAGGCCCUUGGCCACAGCUGACCACUGCCUGCCCUGGGUGGUCUGACCUCGACCUUCUAAGCUUCUGGCCCACACUGCUGAGAGCUGCUGGAGAAAACCACAGGGCCGGGCAGAUGGGGCCCCUGUGCACGAGGCCUCCAGGCCCAGCUGAUCCUUUUCCCAGCUCACUCCUCCACCCUCUCCAGACGCUCCCUCAAACCUUCAGCCUGUUCACCAGCCUCCUCCCCUCCUCCUCCCAUGACUCAGCAGAUGACUUCAGCUUCUCCUUCUCGGAGAAGAAGGUUCCUGGGAAUCUCCCUGCCCUCCGCUCAGAAGUGCACCCCGCCUGCCUUCCAUCCCGGCUGACCCCUCUUCCAGGGCUCCUGACCUCCCCCACGUCAACAUAUCCACCUGUUCCUUCCACACCACCCCCAUCCUUCCAGCCUCUCUCUCUCUCCCCGGACUCUCCCCUGAGCAUUUAAACAAUCCCAGCCUCUUGCAGACAAAGGAAACCCUCCCUCUGCCAUGAGCCACCAGCAAUAUCAGAGUCUCUCUCCUUCAUCUGACCAUUAAAUUACUGAUGAAAAUAGUCAUU